UUCAAGUGGAGAGUUUGAUCCUGGCUCAGAACGAACGCUGGCGGCGUGCCUAACACAUGCAAGUCGAACGAGAAAGUCCCUUCGGGGAUGAGUAAAGUGGCGAACGGGUGAGUAACGCGUGGGUAAUCUACCUCCCAGAGGGGGAUAACCUGCCGAAAGGCGGGCUAAUACCGCAUGACGUAACUGGUUCAUAUGAGCCGGUUACCAAAGACAGCCUCUGCUUGCAAGCUGUCGCUGGAAGUUGAGCCCGCGUCCCAUUAGCUAGUUGGCGGGAUAACAGCCCACCAAGGCUACGAUGGGUAGCCGACCUAAGAGGGUGAUCGGCCACACUGGGACUGAGACACGGCCCAGACUCCUACGGGAGGCAGCAGUGGGGAAUAUUGCGCAAUGGGCGAAAGCCUGACGCAGCAACGCCGCGUGAGUGAUGAAGGCCUUCGGGUCGUAAAGCUCUGUCAGGUGGGAAUAAAUAGGUUGAGUUAAGAGCUCUGCUUAUAGACAGUACCACCAAAGGAAGCACCGGCCAACUCUGUGCCAGCAGCCGCGGUAAUACAGAGGGUGCUAGCGUUGUUCGGA
rnacentral:rRNA from 1 species